CAGAUUUUCAAACUAGAAGUGGAAAAGCUACUGAAGCAUCUUACAAGGACAUAAAGUCAAAUUUGACCUCCCCACUGCCUUAGCUUUGGCAAAUGAAAGAAAAGCAGAAGUGAUAUGUGUCAUAUUGGAUGGAAAGAAUUCCCCUGCCCUUCUCCUGUUUCAGUGAUUGCAGAAGCACUCAAGCUGAAGCCUCCCUCCCCUGUGUCUAUGAGUCACUCUCAUGAGCCAUACUUGCCACCCUGCACCAGACAUCUGGCAUAAGUGAGGA
rnacentral:lncRNA from 10 species